AGAAUUCGCCCCCAGUUUGGAUACCACUGCCAUAGACAUUUUUCAAGGAUACCUACUGCGCUGACGUCAUCGUUCAUGGAUUUCUCUGACUUGAAUGCGAGGAACAUGGCGAGGAAGAAUCAAUGCUGAUUUUUGUUUCCAUGGUAACGGUGUAUCCGCAGAGGGAUCUUCAAUUUGGAGACGGUUACUAUGACUGCCACAAACUGUCGAACGCCCUAUAAAUUAGCCUAACAAUGAUUACACUUUUCAUUCGGACACGCUAAACAUAGAGAUUGUUGAUUCUAAGAGAGUAGAGAAGAGAAAGAAGAAUGGCUGGGGGAGAGAACGAAGAAGAGGAAGAGGAAAGUUUGAAAGUUCUCUACCAUCCCUUCGGUUUAGCCCUGGGACUCUAUCUUAUUCUGACCAGUGGUUAUUGGAUGACCUGGCUUCUACAACACGAGAUCUUCAUUAUUCUGCUCGCUGUAUUUGUUGUCUUCUUUCUCCUUAUCACACUCAUCUUGCAGGUCAGGCGACACUUUCGCCGAUUGCACAGUAAAUGUAUGCUGAUAUGAGGAAAAGACUCACAACUUUUGACAAAACUUUAUAAAAUGUGUAUAUAUGCAUAGAAGUUGGCAAUAUUUACUUUGAUUAUAUUAUUUGUGAAAUAUAAUAGGCUGUUAUUAUUAGUUGACGGUAAGUUUCAUUGAGAAAUAAGAAUAUGAACUUGCAUGGAGGAAAAAAACAAAUUUUGCUGAAACCAUGGUAACGGUGGGGAGAAAAGUGGGGAGAUUCGGAAAAUCGUGUCACCUUGAGUUGCCUAUUCGAUUUACAAAUAGUAUAAUUUUAAGUAAAGAAUCGCACACUUUUAAUUACAGUCAUCAAUUUCUUUUAAACAUUUGUUUAUGGAAACUUUUUUGCUUUGGUUUGAAAAUUAUUCACUUCAAUGUUAUUACUUUGGUGAGAAUAAAUUUACCUUUUUUUACACACGUGUGUAAACAGUAACAUUUUUUGUAAAUAUAUAAUUUGG